AGGUCUUGUGGACGAAGACUUAUGGACAGGUGCAAAACAUAAAUCCUCUUCUGCAACCCAGAACUUAUUGUUCAGUAUGAGUUUUGAUACAUGUAAGAAGGGAUAUU
rfam:Gorilla gorilla gorilla genomic chromosome, chr17, whole genome shotgun sequence